rnacentral:lncRNA from 1 species
GGCUUACAAAAAGCGCAUGGCAGCUCACAGAAGCCCCAGGCAGCCAAGUGCUGGGUGUCCUGCCUUGGGAGGUCCAGGUGCCCAUCUCUUAUAUAUUAUGUAUAUAAUAUGGUGAUUUCCCAGGGGUGGGGAACCACCAGGUUGUUUAAGGAGGGGUGAACUGGCCCGACUUGGAAAUGGAACAGGUCAAAACCCCCAUGCUGAUCACUAUUGGGAUCAUACCUCUGAAUACGCGCUGCAUUCAAGCCUGGGCAUCACAGUAAGACCCCGUCU